rnacentral:rRNA from 1 species
AUACGGAGGGCGCGAACGUUGCUCGGAAUCAUUGGGCGUAAAGCGCACGUAGGCGGCCUGAUAAGUCGGAUGUGAAAGCCCUCGGCUCAACCGAGGAAGUGCAUUCGAAACUGUCAGGCUUGAGUAUGGGAGAGGGUUGCGGAAUUCCCGGUGUAGAGGUGAAAUUCGUAGAUAUCGGGAGGAACACCAGUGGCGAAGGCGGCAGCCUGGACCAAUACUGACGCUGAGGUGCGAAAGCGUGGGGAGCAAACAGGAUUAGAAACCCGAGUAGUCC